rnacentral:tRNA from 1 species
GGCCGGUUAGCUCAGUGGUUUGAGUGCGGUGCUGACAAAAACGACCAACGCCGAGGUCGCGGGUUUGAUUCCCGCUCGGUCC